GAUGAACGCUGGCGGCGUGCCUAAUACAUGCAAGUCGAGCGAACAGACGAGGAGCUUGCUCCUCUGACGUUAGCGGCGGACGGGUGAGUAACACGUGGAUAACCUACCUAUAAGACUGGGAUAACUUCGGGAAACCGGAGCUAAUACCGGAUAAUAUAUUGAACCGCAUGGUUCAAUAGUGAAAGACGGUGUUGCUGUCACGUAUAGAUGGAUCCGCGCCGCAUUAGCUAGUUGGUAAGGUAACGGCUUACCAAGGCUACGAUGCGUAGCCGACCUGAGAGGGUGAUCGGCCACACUGGAACUGAGACACGGACCAGACUCCUACGGGAGGCAGCAGUAGGGAAUCUUCCGCAAUGGGCGAAAGCCUGACGCAGCAACGCCGCGUGAGUGAUGAAGGUCUUCGGAUCGUAAAACUCUGUUAUUAGGGAAGAACAAAUGUGUAAGUAACUAUGCCCGUCUUGACGGUACCUAAUCAGAAAGCCACGGCUAACUACGUG
rnacentral:rRNA from 1 species